AUUUUAUCUAAUACCCAGUGCACCAACAGUUUGUGUAUGCCUGAGGAAUGACUGAGCACGAAGAAACAUUGAGUAUAACUGCCUUAUUGUAGAGCGUCUCCCAACAUUAUCACACGCACUAAUCAUCAUAGGACAAGGUAAAGAUGAAACAAGUGGCAUGCAUGUUCUCAGCUAUAGUAGUUCUAGCAACAGCCUGGGACCCUGUGAGGCCCGGAGCUUUAGUAAGGAAAAUCGGCGACAUGAUCAUUGUGAACCACUCAGUAAGAGUACUAUUGAAAUUUGACAAUAUAAAUGUUGUAAGAGAAAAUGUCAGACAUAUCAAUAAUGGGUUACAGAUGGUAAAAGACAAAUUGAUAAUCAGUGAGAUAUCCAAUGUGAGAUUAGAGAAGAAAUUAGAUGCUAUACAGACGAAGGUCACCAAAAUAGAAAAUAACUUCCUACAUAGCAAAAGCAAAAGAGGAGUAGGUAUCGCAAUAGCGAUCGGAUCGUUAGUAGGUCUUGGAGUAACAAAUAUUGGUUUGUAUGCAGAACUUCGCUCAAAUGUAAAUAAUCUACAAAACUCAGUGUCUAGAAUCGAUGUCUUACAAGAAGAAACAGAAGAUAUACAACUUACCAUAGAUGAGAUGAUUAAUAGCAUAGAAACCUUAAGCACAGAGAACUCUAAAUUGAAGGAAUCCCUGGAAAUUUUCAUGGUCUUGGAUCAGUUGCACAUUAAGAUAAAUGAACUAAAUGCUGAAAUGGAACAGUUAAUUCAAGACUUAGUUAUGGCUAAUGCUGGACAUGUUACAUACACAUUAUUUUCAAUAUCACAACUUCUAAACAUAACUCAACAAGCAAAAUAUGAGUGGAAUUUUCAACCUUUCUUUGAUUCAAAUAAUAUUGCUCUAUAUUAUCCCAUUCUUAAUUCAUUCAUAAAUGAUACUGGAGUACUCAUUGACAUACCAUUUUCAUCAGAAUUGAAAUAUCACAUGUAUAAUCUGAUUCCUUUCCCAAUGAAAUUUAAUAGUUCCAUUAUAACAGUUGAUACUGAUAUAACAUCUCCAACAAAUUACAUCCUAUCCAUAAAUGGUUUGAAAGAAAGUGUUAUAGUAAAUGAUGAUCUAUUGCACUGUAAGAAAACUAACGUAGACCUGUACAUUUGCUCAGCUACUUAUUUUACUUUCAAUGAAGCAUUGAGUCACUCAUGUGCCGCAUCCUUGGUGAAAAAUAUAUCCAUUGUACGUAAUUGUCAUUUUAAGGAAGAAACUCCCAUAACACGUCAUGAAACUAUCCAGGAAUCUCACUACUUAUAUUUUCCAAACAAGACAACUGUAUCAGUCAUAUGCCCAGGAUUUCAACCUCAGAUAGCAUCAAUAGAAGGCUUAUAUCGUGUACCAGAUCAAUGUGAACUUCAUAGCCCCACACUCACAACAGUAGCAAAUAGGAAAAAGACUAUUGUACUUAAUAGAGAAAAUGUUUUACAGGACAUUACUAUGAAAUUCCCAGACAGAGCUCCUCCUUUGAAAAUCAGAAAGAUUAACAAGAAAAGACUUGUAAAGCAAGUGUCAAAAACACACACAGGUACUAUGUGGUAUAUAAUAUAUGUACUUCCAUUUGUCUUGAUAGUCACAUUGAGCACAAUAUCAAUGAUACUUAUGUACAAGAAACUCAAGAAUUCAUCCAUCGAAAUGAAACACAUUUCCGAGCCGUAACCCUGUAAUAGGUAUGUAAAGAACAGCAAGCAUGAAAUACUGUAAAUAGAAUUUAUUGCAUAACAAUUUUGUCGGGACGACAAACGGUAGCUGCCGAGCCCUGUAAUAGGCACUACUUUGCAUGAAGAAAAGAAUAGAUAUAAGAGUAGAAUUAGAAGGAAAUUAGAGACGCGUUAGAGAAUCUAACGCUAGUAUUAGAAGAAUUGUGCAAGAGGUGAACAGGACGUUGAAUUGAUAACAGCCAAGCUUAACUAUAAACAGCCGGUUUGUUUUAUGCCCAUUCAGCUUGUUAAAGGCUUACCUCCCAUUGGGUGGAGAUUAAAACGUCAUUCAUUUUGCUUGAUAUUAUUGGCUAUGGAAAUCUAUGACGUAUGCCUCGACACCUCUCGGACAAUCCUCAAGUCACUUUUAGCAGCAGUAGCAGCCAGUCACCAAGAUAGUACAGACGCACAACCCGUGUCGCUCUGACUUGAGUUACUCAAAGACUUAGACUCUGAUCAAGACGCAAGAGUCUUAAUAACUUUGCUUAUAAUCUUAGUCGUGUGAUUGAGUAGUUAAGAAGUGCACUGUUGUUGAGCUGUAAAGACAAUUUAUAUUUUCUAAAUAAACUGCAACACGCCA